rnacentral:rRNA from 1 species
AUUGAACGCUGGCGGCAUGCUUUACACAUGCAAGUCGAACGGUAACAGGGAGCUUGCUCCGCUGACGAGUGGCGAACGGGUGAGUAAUGCGUCGGAACGUGCCGAGUAGUGGGGGAUAACGCAUCGAAAGGUGUGCUAAUACCCGAUACGAACUGAGGUUGAAAGUGGGGGACCUUCGGGCCUCAAGCAAUUCGCUCGGGCGGCGUCUGAUUAGCUAGUUGGUGAGGUAAAGGCUCACCAAGGCGACGAUCAGUAGCGGGUCUGAGAGGAUGAUCCGCCACACUAGGACUGAGACACGGCCCAGACUCCUACGGGAGGCAGCAGUGGGGAAUUUUGGACAAUGGGCGCAAGCCUGAUCCAACCAUGCCGCGUGUCUGAAGAAGGCCUUCGGGUUGUAAAGGACUUUUGUCCGGGAGCAAAUGCUGGUGGCUAACAUCCACCGGAGCUGAGAGUACCGGAAGAAUAAGCACCGGCUAACUACGUGCCAGCCGCCGCAGUAACAC